rnacentral:rRNA from 1 species
AACGUAGGAGGCGAGCGUUAUCCGGAUUCACUGGGUUUAAAGGGUGCGUAGGUGGGUUGGUAAGUCAGUGGUGAAAUCCCCGAGCUUAACUUGGGAACUGCCAUUGAUACUAUCAAUCUUGAAUACCGUGGAGGUCAGCGGAAUAUGUCAUGUAGCGGUGAAAUGCUUAGAUAUGACAUAGAACACCAAUUGCGAAGGCAGCUGGCUACACGAAUAUUGACACUGAUGCACGAAAGCGUGGGGAUCAAACAGG